UUUAAAGUUAGGCCUGCCCAAUGAAAUUUUUAAUGGCUGCAGUAUAUUGACUGUACAAAGGUAGCAUAAUCAUUAGUUUUUUAAAUGAAAACUGGAAUGAAAGGUUUGAUGAAAAAAUAACUGUCUUAAAUUAAAAAUUGAAUUUUAUUUUUAAGUUAAAAAGCUUAAAUUUUUUAAAAAGACGAGAAGACCCUAUAGAGUUUUAUUAAAAUAUUGAUAGAAUAAUAAAAAUGAUUUUAUUUUUAUUAUAUUUUAAUUUUAUUGGGGUGAUAGAAAAAUUAAUAAAACUUUUUUUUAAUUUAAAACAUAUAUUUAUGAAUUAAUGAUCCGUUAAUUAUGAUUAAAAGAAUAAAUUACCUUAGGGAUAACAGCAUAAUUUUUUUUGAAAGUUCUUAUUGAAAAAAAAGAUUAUGACCUCGAUGUUGGAUUAAAAUUUAAUUAAGGUGAAGAAGCUUU
rnacentral:rRNA from 1 species